rnacentral:rRNA from 1 species
GCAGAACGCGAAGAACCUUACCUGGGCUAGAAAGCGCAAGAACCUCGGUGAAAACUGAGGGUGCCCUUCGGGGAACUUGUGAUUAGGUGCUGCAUGGCUGUCGUCAGCUCGUGUCGUGAGAUGUUGGGUUAAGUCCCGCAACGAGCGCAACCCUUGCUGUUAGUUGCCAUCAUUAAGUUGGGCACUCUAACAGGACUGCCGACCUUUAAGUCGGAGGAAGGUGGGGAUGACGUCAAGUCCUCAUGGCCCUUACGUCCAGGGCUACACACGUGCUACAAUGAACGGUACAAAGGGUCGCGAAACCGUGAGGUGGAGCCAAUCCCAAAAAGCCGUUCUCAGUACGGAUAAGAGUCUGCAACUCGACUCUUUGAAGGCGGAAUCGCUAGUAAUCCCUGAUCAGCAUAGCAGGGGUGAAUACGUUCCCGGGUCUUGUACACACCG